ensembl:lncRNA
GUGGUAUACAACCAUUAAGCCGUGUCUUUAGCUUUCUUCUGGCAUUUGCAAGGCCAAGAUGAUAAGCAUGUUAAUAAGGUAUCUCUCACUCCACCAAUCCCCAGAGGACAAGUUUACAGCCGCUGUCUGUUUUGUACUUAAGGCGAGUGCCUUUGUUCCCCGGGGUCUCCCGAAUCAACAAUGAGGUGUUCCUGCAAUAAAGGCUGUUAAAGAAGAAUCCAAUGGUGUCGUGUCUUCCUUGCUGGUCGAGGUGGGUGCUUCAACUGGUGGCCAAAGUACGGGGACCUGAGAAAAUUAUCUUUUCUCGUUUGGAUUCAGAACUUUUUUCAGCCUCAGGACGGUCGACAUCGAAUCAAGACAAUCCAAUCUGGGUGCCUGAACGUUUGACUCGCAAACUGCCUCCUGCUAUUCGUGAAGAUGAGACUACGAACCCUACUAUUACUACUGGGAAUGAUUCCUGCCCGCAGCAGCUCGCUGCUCCCAAACCCUGUGGGAGAGAGAAAACACCACCUGGACAGAUAAGCACUCAUGAGACUGCAGAGCAGAAGAGACCACCAACACUGCCCACCCCUGCUCACAUCUCUGGCCCAACAGGAAACUUUAUACAGCCUCUGGGUUCCCUUAGAUAAGGGCACAGCGACAGCAGGUCCCCUGCAUCUGAGACACUGCCGGAAACUGAAGGGACUGACCAGAUAAAUAGUUCUCUGCACCCAAAUCCCGCGGGAGGGAGAGCUAAACCUUCAGAGAGGCAGACACGCCUGGUAAACCAGAAGAGACUGCACUCUGCAUACACUACUGAUUCGGGAGGAAAACACCAAAUGCCAUCUGGAACCCUGGUGCACGGAAGCUCCCGGAAAGGGUGGCACAGAACUUCCUGGUGGCUGCCCCCACGGAGAGCUCAUAAGCAACACCCCACGAGCAAACUUGAGCCUCUGGACUACAGGUAAGACAAACCUUCCUGCUCCAAGCGACCUGCCUAGUGGACUCAGGACACAGGCCCACAGGAACAGCUGAAGACCUGUAGAUAAGAAAAACUACACGCCUGAAAGGAGAACACUCUGUUCCCAUAACUGGCUGAAAGAAAACAGGAAAACAGGUCUACAGCACCCCUGACACACAGGCUUAUAGGACAGUCUAGCCACUGUCAGAAAUAGAAGAACAAAGUAACACAAGAGAUAAUCUGAUGGCAAGAGGCAAACGCAGGAUUCCAAGCAAGAGAAACCAAGACUACAUGGCAACAUUGGAGCCCAACUCUCCCACCAAAGCAAAUACGGAAUAUCCAAACACACCAGAAAAGCAAGAUCUAGUUUCAAAAUCAUAUUUGAUCAUGAUGCUGGAGGACUUGAAGAAAGACGUGAAGAACUCCCUUAGAGAAACACAGGAAAACAUAAAUAAACAAGUAGAAGCCUAUAGAGAGGAAUCACAAAAAUCCCUGAAAGAAUUCCAGGAAAACACAAUCAAACAGUAGAAGGAAUUAAAAAUGGAAAUAGAAGCAAUCAAGAAAGAACACAUGGAAACAAACCUGGAUAUAGAAAACCAAAAGAAGAGACAAGGAGCCAUAGAUACAUGCUUCACCAACAGAAUACAAGAGAUGGAAGAGAGAAUCUCAGGAGCAGAAGAUUCCAUAGAAAUCAUCGACUCAACUAUCAAAGAUAAUGUAAAGCGGAAAAAGCUACUGAUCCAAAACAUACAGGAAAUCCAGGACUCAAUGAGAAGAUCAAACCUAAGGAUAAUAGGUAUAGAAGAGAGUGAAGACUACCAGCUCAAAGGACCAGUAAAUAUCUUCAACAAAAUCAUAGAAGAAAACUUCCCUAACCUAAAAAAAGAGCAUACAAGAAGCCUACAGAACUCCAAAUAGAUUGGACCAGAAAAGAAACUCCUCCCAUCACAUAAUAGUCAAAACACCAAAUGCACAAAAUAAAGAAAGAAUAUUAAAAGCAGUAAGGAAAAAGGACAAGUAACAUAUAAAGGCAGACCUAUCAGAAUCACACCAGACUUUUCACCAGAGAUUAUGAAAGCCAGAAGAUCCUGGACAGAUAUCAUACAGACCCUAAGACAACACAAAUGCCAGCCCAGGUUACUGUAUCCUGCAAAACUCUCAAUUAACAUAGAUGGAGAAACCAAGAUAUUCCAUGAUAAAACCAAAUUUACAAAAUAUCUUUGUACAAAUCCAAAUACAAAAGGAUACAAAGGAUAAUAAAUGGUAAAGCCCAACAUAAGGAGGCAAGCUACACCCUAGAAGAAACAAGAAACUAAUCGUCUUGGCAACAAAACAAAGAGAAGAAAAGCACACAAACAUAACCUCAUAUCCAAAUAUGAAUAUAACAGAAAGCAAUAAUCACUAUUUCUUAAUAUCUCUCAACAUCAAUGGCCUCAACUCCCCAAUAAAAAGACAUAGAUUAACAAACUGGAUACACAACGAGGACCCUGCUUUCUGCUGCCUACAGGAAACACACCUCAGAGACAAAGACAG